rnacentral:rRNA from 1 species
CCCUGCCCUUUGUACACACCGCCCGUCGCUACUACCGAUUGAAUGGCUCAGUGAGGCUUUCGGACUGGCUUAGGGAGGUUGGCAACGACCACCCCGAGCCGGAAAGUUUGUCAAACUCGGUCAUUUAGAGG